rnacentral:rRNA from 1 species
GGAAAAGAAAUCAACCGAGAUUCCCCCAGUAGCGGCGAGCGAACGGGGAGCAGCCCAGAGCCUGAAUCAGUGUGUGUGUUAGUGGAAGCGUCUGGAAAGGCGCGCGAUACAGGGUGACAGCCCCGUACACAAAAAUGCACAUGCUGUGAGCUCGAUGAGUAGGGCGGGACACGUGGUAUCCUGUCUGAAUAUGGGGGGACCAUCCUCCAAGGCUAAAUACUCCUGACUGACCGAUAGUGAACCAGUACCGUGAGGGAAAGGCGAAAAGAACCCCGGCGAGGGGAGUGAAAAAGAACCUGAAACCGUGUACGUACAAGCAGUGGGAGCACGCUUAGGCGUGUGACUGCGUACCUUUUGUAUAAUGGGUCAGCGACUUAUAUUCUGUAGCAAGGUUAACCGAAUAGGGGAGCCGAAGGGAAACCGAGUCUUAACUGGGCGUUAAGUUGCAGGGUAUAGACCCGAAACCCGGUGAUCUAGCCAUGGGCAGGUUGAAGGUUGGGUAACACUAACUGGAGGACCGAACCGACUAAUGUUGAAAAAUUAGCGGAUGACUUGUGGCUGGGGGUGAAAGGCCAAUCAAACCGGGAGAUAGCUGGUUCUCCCCGAAAGCUAUUUAGGUAGCGCCUCGUGAAUUCAUCUCCGGGGGUAGAGCACUGUUUCGGCAAGGGGGUCAUCCCGACUUACCAACCCGAUGCAAACUGCGAAUACCGGAGAAUGUUAUCACGGGAGACACACGGCGGGUGCUAACGUCCGUCGUGAAGAGGGAAACAACCCAGACCGCCAGCUAAGGUCCCAAAGUCAUGGUUAAGUGGGAAACGAUGUGGGAAGGCCCAGACAGCCAGGAUGUUGGCUUAGAAGCAGCCAUCAUUUAAAGAAAGCGUAAUAGCUCACUGGUCGAGUCGGCCUGCGCGGAAGAUGUAACGGGGCUAAACCAUGCACCGAAGCUGCGGCAGCGACGCUGAUGCGUUGUUGGGUAGGGGAGCGUUCUGUAAGCCUGCGAAGGUGUGCUGUGAGGCAUGCUGGAGGUAUCAGAAGUGCGAAUGCUGACAUAAGUAACGAUAAAGCGGGUGAAAAGCCCGCUCGCCGGAAGACCAAGGGUUCCUGUCCAACGUUAAUCGGGGCAGGGUGAGUCGACCCCUAAGGCGAGGCCGAAAGGCGUAGUCGAUGGGAAACAGGUUAAUAUUCCUGUACUUGGUGUUACUGCGAAGGGGGGACGGAGAAGGCUAUGUUGGCCGGGCGACGGUUGUCCCGGUUUAAGCGUGUAGGCUGGUUUUCCAGGCAAAUCCGGAAAAUCAAGGCUGAGGCGUGAUGACGAGGCACUACGGUGCUGAAGCAACAAAUGCCCUGCUUCCAGGAAAAGCCUCUAAGCAUCAGGUAACAUCAAAUCGUACCCCAAACCGACACAGGUGGUCAGGUAGAGAAUACCAAGGCGCUUGAGAGAACUCGGGUGAAGGAACUAGGCAAAAUGGUGCCGUAACUUCGGGAGAAGGCACGCUGAUAUGUAGGUGAAGUCCCUUGCGGAUGGAGCUGAAAUCAGUCGAAGAUACCAGCUGGCUGCAACUGUUUAUUAAAAACACAGCACUGUGCAAACACGAAAGUGGACGUAUACGGUGUGACGCCUGCCCGGUGCCGGAAGGUUAAUUGAUGGGGUCAGCGCAAGCGAAGCUCUUGAUCGAAGCCCCGGUAAACGGCGGCCGUAACUAUAACGGUCCUAAGGUAGCGAAAUUCCUUGUCGGGUAAGUUCCGACCUGCACGAAUGGCGUAAUGAUGGCCAGGCUGUCUCCACCCGAGACUCAGUGAAAUUGAACUCGCUGUGAAGAUGCAGUGUACCCGCGGCAAGACGGAAAGACCCCGUGAACCUUUACUAUAGCUUGACACUGAACAUUGAGCCUUGAUGUGUAGGAUAGGUGGGAGGCUUUGAAGUGUGGACGCCAGUCUGCAUGGAGCCGACCUUGAAAUACCACCCUUUAAUGUUUGAUGUUCUAACGUGGACCCGUGAUCCGGGUUGCGGACAGUGUCUGGUGGGUAGUUUGACUGGGGCGGUCUCCUCCUAAAGAGUAACGGAGGAGCACGAAGGUUGGCUAAUCCUGGUCGGACAUCAGGAGGUUAGUGCAAUGGCAUAAGCCAGCUUGACUGCGAGCGUGACGGCGCGAGCAGGUGCGAAAGCAGGUCAUAGUGAUCCGGUGGUUCUGAAUGGAAGGGCCAUCGCUCAACGGAUAAAAGGUACUCCGGGGAUAACAGGCUGAUACCGCCCAAGAGUUCAUAUCGACGGCGGUGUUUGGCACCUCGAUGUCGGCUCAUCACAUCCUGGGGCUGAAGUAGGUCCCAAGGGUAUGGCUGUUCGCCAUUUAAAGUGGUACGCGAGCUGGGUUUAGAACGUCGUGAGACAGUUCGGUCCCUAUCUGCCGUGGGCGCUGGAGAACUGAGGGGGGCUGCUCCUAGUACGAGAGGACCGGAGUGGACGCAUCACUGGUGUUCGGGUUGUCAUGCCAAUGGCACUGCCCGGUAGCUAAAUGCGGAAGAGAUAAGUGCUGAAAGCAUCUAAGCACGAAACUUGCCCCGAGAUGAGUUCUCCCUGACCCUUUAAGGGUCCUGAAGGAACGUUGAAGACGACGACGUUGAUAGGCCGGGUGUGUAAGCGCAGCGAUGCGUUGAGCUAACCGGUACUAAUGAACCGUGAGGCUUAACCUUACAACGCCGAAGCUGUU